rnacentral:rRNA from 1 species
UGGGGAAUUUUGGACAAUGGGCGAAAGCCUGAUCCAGCAAUGCCGCGUGUGUGAAGAAGGCCUUCGGGUUGUAAAGCACUUUUGUCCGGAAAGAAAUCCUUGGCUCUAAUACAGUCGGGGGAUGACGGUACCGGAAGAAUAAGCACCGGCUAACUACGUGCCAGCAGCCGCGGUAAUACGUAGGGUGCAAGCGUUAAUCGGAAUUACUGGGCGUAAAGCGUGCGCAGGCGGUUUGCUAAGACCGAUGUGAAAUCCCCGGGCUCAACCUGGGAACUGCAUUGGUGACUGGCAGGCUAGAGUAUGGCAGGAGGGGGGUAGAAUUCCACGUGUAGCAGUGAAAUGCGUAGAGAUGUGGAGGAAUACCGAUGGCGAAGGCAGCCCCCCUGGGGCCAAUACUGACGCUCAUGCACGAAAAGCGUGGGGAGCAAACAGGAUUAGAUACCCUGGUAGUCCACGCCCUAAACGAUGUCAACUAGUUGUU